UGCGUGUGCAUCGGUGCUUUGCUCCAGAGAUUAGCGUAGUUAUGCGGUGUUGUUGUUCAAAACCAAUUACUAACGACGACAAAGGUUGAUGCUUGUUUCGGAUGUUGAAAAUCAUGAACGCCGAAAAGAGAAAAGAUGACUUGGCGUUUUAUCAACUUGAACAUGAGCUCAUGACCGUGGGAUGGAUUCACAUUGAGCCCUCUCAUGGCUGUUUUAUCUACGUCAAGUGUUGACCUUCAUUGUCACUACUCGUAUCAGAGACUGAUGAAAGAGUCAAUAGCUAUCACGUGUGCUCCAGAACGGUAAGAGUGCAGAUCGAUUUACAAACGACCUUGAGUUGGAAGUGACUCGACGUGGAAUGGACUGCAUUACACCAGUGGCGGAUCCAGGAUUUUGAAAAGGAAGGUUCCAUCAAGCAGGGACUAUCUUCCUACUAACUGGCAACUUUAAUUAAUUAAUUAAUGUAGAAACGCAAUAUAACGGGCUUUAUACUUAUCAUUUAUACGGACGUCAUACAAGAACUGCACAAUCUCAGAUUAUUGAUAUUAUACACACACUUCAA